rnacentral:lncRNA from 1 species
CAGCGGCGGCGCAGACGAUCCCGUGAGUCCAGCCACGGGGGGCGGAGCGAAGCCACCGGCGGCGAGGUGGUGAAGGGGGCUGGAGGCGGCGUCCGUUCGAGCGGCGGCGGCCGGAUCGAUGGAUCGAGUCGAGCACCAUGCGCCCCUGUGUCCCGCGGCUCGGGUCGGCUCGGUACAGGCGGAAGUGCAGCGGCGGCGCCUCUCCUGGUGUUGUGCCAGGAAGGCCGCCACCCACCAUCCACCAAGCGUGCCAAGCCAUGGUCUCAACAAUACUUCUUUCUUCAAAGGGAUGAUGCUUGCAAAUCGUAA